rnacentral:sRNA from 1 species
CGACCGUCGAACRCGUGACAGAAUGCUGCCGCGGAGGCGCCCGCCGCCUCCUCGGCCCCACCGGCCUCCUCCCUCUCGCCCUUCCGGGCGCGUCGGUUGCUGGCCGGAAUACGGCGCGGGAUGACGCCAAGGAACACGGUAAAGCUGAGGCGCCGGCGGGCCGCUCGCGGUCUCCGUCGGCUGCCGAGGCCAACAGAAAAGAAUAYGACUCUCGGCAACGGAUAUCUCGGCUCUCGCAUCGAUGAAGAACGCAGCGAAAUGCGAUACGUGGUGUGAAUUGCAGAAUCCCGUGAACCAUCGAGUCUUUGAACGCAAGUUGCGCCCGAGGGACCCUCCCGAGGGCACGCCUGCCUCAUGGGCGUUAGAAGCCCAUCCACGCUCGGCUGCCGGACUAACGGCAGAGAUGCGGACAYUGGCCCUCCGAACCGCGAGGCGCGGUGGGCCUAAGUGUGCGGCCGUCGUACGUGGCCGGGAGCGGCGAGUGGUGGGCUGCUGCGCACGCCGCCCCGAGCCCCGUACCGACGCAGGGCCUUGUACGACCCCCUAACGAGGAGCAAGCCGCCGCGGCUCCGGCUGCGCGGCGCCUUCGGACCGAUACCCCAG